CAGUAAAUAAAAAAAAAGAGAACAAUUCGGUGUCAGAUGAGUGACAGUCAAACUGAUGUGACAACUGGAUGAGAUAAUUAUAGAAGAAAACACAGCGUAGAGUUUCAGGUUGAGGAGGGUGCCAUUGGAAAGCCAAAAAUAAUCCCCAAUCAGCCAGGGUAAUCAAGUGUGUCACACCAGGCUGCCACUCCCUUCCCAUGACAGGCAGGCACACACAGCCAGCACAACGCCAUCCACACAACCUUUCUUCCAUUUCAGCCUCACAGCUCUCCUUGGCAGAGGUGAAAACUCCAGCAGGAGGGCAGGGGGGGACAUGCAGGAAAGAGAAAGGCAGCCUUUAUUGCAGAUGCCAACAUCAACAGCGCCCAGAGCCGGCGUGUAGACAGAGGUGCUGCCUGUCCUUCAAUAGCCUCAGUGUGUGUAAUAACACCACAGAAAGAGGGACGGGACAGGAGCUGGCGGGGGGAGAGCCAGGCUGGGUGGUGCCUACUAGCCACAAUAACCAGAACCAGAUCCACGUUCCACUGGAAACCCAUCAGUGUGAAGGAGAGGAGUCCCGCUGUUGUUACCUGCACAUCUUUGUGGAGAUUUAACUUCCCCGCUCCAGUCAGGUUACACUAAGUCAAGCUAGCUGACAGGCCUGGAGUCAGCUCUACUUUAUCUGUUCUAUAAAGGCCUGAGCCAGAUGGAUUUGGCUCUUCCCUGGUGGUAGAUAAUAGAUGGUCGCCCCCCCCUUCAGUUUUCAGUCCUGUGCCUCGCAGCAGAUGAUGUACAGCUGCUCCUCCUGAGCUCCCAAUUCCUUUCCCUUGUCUGGAUAAAACGUCCUUGAAAGCAGCAGGGGCAGCAGGCGGAUCUAUAGUCUGUCAAGGCCACUCAGCUAGGGUCUCAGACUGCACAAUUUUGCCCUGAUGGUCCAGCUCUGAGUGGACAGCGGAGGGUACUGUCCAUCAGUCACUUUGGCAGCAGCACUGCCCACUCUGUGCCAGGGAUGAGCAACGGAGGGCAGGGAAGGGAGGUAAAGAGGAGAGAGAGGGAGAAAGAGGAGGUUGGGAGGAACUCUGAGGGUUAUGCAGAUAAUUCAUCCCUCGUCUGUUUCUCCCUUUUUCCCUGUAGAACACUGGCCUGGUUAGUCUAUCGUACAGUUGGUGGGCUGUUGGUGAUUGUUGGACCCUUCUUGUAGUGUCGUCAUAAUAAAUGGCAUCAAUGCCUCAGUGUAACGUUGAAUUAA